UGACAACUUGGCUAUUCCAAGCUCAUUUUAAAGUAUAUUGAAAUAAUUAAAGUAUUCUGAGAGACUUAGGAAUAAUCUUGUCUAAAACCUGGUCUGUUGCUCUUUCUAACACAACAUAGAAUCUGUCUGAAACUUUUCCUUAAAACAAAUUUCCUUUAAUAAACAUACUAGGGCUCUUUCCCAUCUUGCAAGAUGGUGGGUGAAAAGGCUGAGAAGCCAGAUACUAAGGAGAAAAAACCUGAAGCCAAGAAGGCUGAUACUGGCAACAAGGCUAAAAAGGUGAAAAUGGUGAAGAAAGUUAAGAAGGAGAAGCCCCACUGCAGCCGAAACCCUGUCCUGGUCAGAGGAAUUGGCAGAUAUUCCCGAUCAGCCAUAUACUCCAGAAAGGCCUUGUACAAGAGAAAGUAUUCAGCAGCUAAAUUCAAGGUCGAAAAGAAAAAGAAGGUUCUGGUUCUUCCUACUGUCACUAAACCAGUUGGUGGUGACAAGAAUGGUGGUACCCGAGUGGUCAAACUUCGCCAAAUGCCUAGGUAUUACCCUACUGAAGAUGUGCCUCGGAAACUGUUGAGUCACGGCAAGAAACUGUUCAGUAAGCACGUGAGGAAGCUUCGCACCAGCAUCACUCCUGGGACCAUUUUGAUCAUCCUCACGGGGUGCCACAGGGGCAAGAGGGUUGUUUUCCUGAAGCAGCUGGGCAGUGGCUUGCUACUUGUGACUGGGCCUCUAUCCCGAGUCCUCUGCGUAGAACACACCAGAAAUUUGUCAUUGCCACCUCCGCCAAAAUCAAUAUCGGUGGUGUGAAAAUCCCGGAACAUCUCACUGACACUUACUUCAGGAAGAAGAAGCUGUGUAAGCCGAGACAACAGGAGGGUGAGAUCUUCGACACAGAGAGAGAGAAAUAUGAGAUCACAGAGCAGCGCAAGGUUGAUCAGAAAGCUGUGGACUCACAAAUUCUGCGAAGAAUCAAAGCUGUCCCUCAGCUCCAGGGCUACCUCCGCUCUGUGUUUGCUCUCACAAAUGGAAUUUACCCUCACAAAGUAGUAUUCUGAACUUCUUGCAAAGAACCUAAUUAAAUAACUUGUCCAUUUAAAAAAAA